GGGCACCUGCAUCCAGCAUGCCGCGUGAGUGAAGAAGGCCUUCGGGUUGUAAAGCUCUUUUGUCAGGGAAGAAACACCGGCUCUAACACAGUCCGGGAAUGACGGUACCUGAAGAAUAAGCACCGGCUAACUACGUGCCAGCAGCCGCGGUAAUACGUAGGGUGCGAGCGUUAAUCGGAAUUACUGGGCGUAAAGCGUGCGCAGGCGGUUAUACAAGACAGGCGUGAAAUCCCCGGGCUUAACCUGGGAAUGGCGCCUGUGACUGUAUAGCUAGAGUGUGUCUGAGGGGGGUAGAAUUCCACGUGUAGCAGUGAAAUGCGUAGAUAUGUGGAGGAAUACCAAUGGCGAGGCAGCCCCCUGGGAUAACACUGACGCUCAUGCACGAAAGCGUGGGGAGCAAACAGGUUUAGAUACCCUGGUAGUCCACGCCCUAAACGAUGCUGACUAGUUGUUCGGGAUUUACAUCCUGAGUAACGUAGCUAACGCGUGAAGUCAGCCGCCUGGGGAGUACGGUCGCAAGAUUAAAACUCAAAGGAAUUGACGGGGGCCCGCACAAGCGGUGGAUGAUGUGGAUUAAUUCGAUGCAACGCGAAAAAGCUUAGCUANCCUUGACAUGUCACUAACGAAGUAGAGAU
rnacentral:rRNA from 1 species